rnacentral:rRNA from 1 species
UACGAAGGGGGCUAGCGUUGUUCGGAAUUACUGGGCGUAAAGCGUGUGUAGGUGGUUGUCCAAGUUGGAUGUGAAAGCCUUGAGCUCAACUCAAGAAAUGCAUUCAGGACUGGAUGACUAGAGGACCGGAGAGGAUAGUGGAAUUCCCAGUGUAGUGGUGAAAUACGUAGAGAUUGGGAAGAACACCAGUGGCGAAGGCGGCUAUCUGGACGGUUUCUGACACUAAGACUCGAAAGCGUGGGGAGCAAACAGG